rnacentral:rRNA from 1 species
CCCUUAGAUGUUCUGGGCUGCACGCGCGCUACACUGAUGUACUCAACGAGUUUUCGACCUUGCCUGGAAAGGUUGGGUAAUCUUGUUAAAAUGCAUCGUGAUGGGGAUAGAUUAUUGCAAUUAUUAAUCUUCAACGAGGAAUUCCUAGUAAGCGCGAGUCAUCAGCUCGUGCUGAUUACGUCCCUGCCCUUUGUACACACCGCCCGUCGCGCCUACCGAUUGAGUGAUCCGGUGAAUAAUUCGGACUGCAGCAAUGUUUGGAUCCCGAACGUUGCAGCGGAAAGUUUAGUGAACCUUAUCACUUAGAGGAAGGAGAAGUCGUAACA